rnacentral:rRNA from 1 species
UACAGAGGUCCCAAGCGUUGUUCGGAUUCACUGGGCGUAAAGGGUGCGUAGGCGGCGCGGUAAGUCGGGUGUGAAAUCUUGGAGCUUAACUCCGAAACUGCAUUCGAUACUGCCGUGCUUGAGGACUGGAGAGGAGACUGGAAUUUACGGUGUAGCGGUGAAAUGCGUAGAUAUCGUAAGGAAGACCAGUGGCGAAGGCGGGUCUCUGGACAGUUCCUGACACUGAGACACGAAGGCCAGGGGAGCAAACGGG